GGGCCGCACGCGCGCUACACC
rnacentral:rRNA from 3 species